rfam:Pteropus alecto contig20363, whole genome shotgun sequence.
GUCUACGGCCAUGCUACCCUGAGCAAGCCCUAUCCCGUCUGAUCUCGGAAGCUAAGCAGGGUUGGGCCUGGUUAGUAUUUGAAUAGGAGACCACCUAGGAAGACCAGGUGCUGUAGGCA